CCUACGGGUGGCAGCAGUGAGGAAUAUUGGUCAAUGGGCGCGAGCCUGAACCAGCCAAGUAGCGUGAAUGAUGACUGCCCUACGGGUUGUAAACUUCUUUUAUAAAGGAAUAAAGUGAGGCACUUGUGCCUUUUUGUAUGUACUUUAUGAAUAAGGAUCGGCUAACUCCGUUCCAGCAGCCGCGGUAAUACGGAGGAUCCGAGCGUUAUCCGGAUUUAUUGGGUUUAAAGGGAGCGUAGAUGGGUUGGUAAGUCAGUUGUGAAAGUUUGCGGCUCAACCGUAAAAUUGCAAUUGAUACUGGCAGGCUUGAGUACAGUUGAGGUAGGCGGAAUUCGUGGUGUAGCGGUGAAAUGCGUAGAUAUCACGAAGAACUCCGAUUGCGAAGGCAGCUUACUAAACUGCAACUGACAUUGAUGCUCGAAAGUGUGGGUAUCAAACAGGAUUAGAUACCCGGGUAGUC
rnacentral:rRNA from 1 species